GAAAUGCGAUAAGUAAUGUGAAUUGCAGAAUUCAGUGAGUCAUCGAAUCUUUGAACGCACAUUGCGCCCGCCGGCACUCCGGCGGGCACGCCUGUCCGAGCGUCAUUUCAACCCUCAGGCCCUGCCUGGCGAUGGGGACUCCCGUCGGGAGCCCUGAAAAACAGUGGCGGGUGCCGAGGUUCCCGGGCGUAGUAACAAGCGCCGUCCGGGACCGAGGUGGCCCUGCCGUAAAGCAAUAACACCCCCAAGGUUGACCUCGGAUCAGGUGGGAAUACCCGCUGAACUUAA
rnacentral:misc_RNA from 1 species